CGAGGACGAACGCUGGCGGCGCGCUUAAUACAUGCAAGUCGAACGAGAAGCCAGAGCUUGCUCUGGUGGAAAGUGGCGAACGGGUGAGUAACACGUGAGAAACCUGCCCCAAAGAUUGGGAUAAGCCUUGGAAACGAGGUCUAAUACCAAAUACCUUCCUUUAACACAUGUUAAAAAGAAGAAAUGCUCCGGCGCUUUGGGAUGGUCUCGCGAUCUAUCAGCUUGUUGGUGAGGUAACGGCUCACCAAGGCAUCGACGGAUAGCUGGUCUGAGAGGAUGUCCAGCCACAUUGGAACUGAGACACGGUCCAAACUCCUACGGGAGGCAGCAGUAGGGAAUCUUGCACAAUGAGGGAAACCUUGAUGCAGCGACGCCGCGUGCGGGACGAAGGCCCUAGGGUUGUAAACCGCUUUCAGUAGGGACGAAAGUGACGGUACCUACAGAAGAAGCCCCGGCCAACUAUGUG
rnacentral:rRNA from 1 species